rnacentral:rRNA from 1 species
GACGAACGCUGGCGGCGUGCCUAAUACAUGCAAGUAGAACGCUGAAGGAGGAGCUUGCUUCUCCGGAUGAGUUGCGAACGGGUGAGUAACGCGUAGGUAACCUGCCUGGUAGCGGGGGAUAACUAUUGGAAACGAUAGCUAAUACCGCAUAACAGUAGAUAUUGCAUGAUAUCUGCUUGAAAGGUGCAAUUGCAUCACUACCAGAUGGACCUGCGUUGUAUUAGCUAGUUGGUGGGGUAACGGCUCACCAAGGCGACGAUACAUAGCCGACCUGAGAGGGUGAUCGGCCACACUGGGACUGAGACACGGCCCAGACUCCUACGGGAGGCAGCAGUAGGGAAUCUUCGGCAAUGGACGGAAGUCUGACCGAGCAACGCCGCGUGAGUGAAGAAGGUUGUCGGAUCGUAAAGCUCUGUUGUAAGAGAAGAACGAGUGUGAGAGUGGAAAGUUCACACUGUGACGGUAUCUUACCAGAAAGGGACGGCUAACUACGUG